rnacentral:rRNA from 1 species
AUUGAACGCUGGCGGCAGGCCUAACACAUGCAAGUCGAGCGAGCGGCGGGAGUGUGAGCAAUGUAUGGGGAUCUGCCUGGUGGAGGGGGAUAACUACUGGACACGGUUGCUAAUAACGUCUAGCAUCACCUGGACCCAUAUGGGAUUAGCUAGUGGGUGGGGUAACGGCUCACCAAGGCGACGAUCCCUACCUGGUCUGAGAGGAUGAUCAGCCACACUGGAACUGAGACACGGCCCAGACUCCUACGGGAGGCAGCAGUGGGGAAUAUUGCACAAUGGGCGAAAGCCUGAUGCAGCCAUGCCGCGUGUAUGAAGAAGGCCUUCGGGUUGUAAAGUACUUUCAGUCGGGAGGCGUUACCGACAGAAUAAGCACCGGCUAACUCCGUGCCAGCAGCCGCGGUAAUAC